rnacentral:rRNA from 1 species
GUGUCAGCAGCCGCGGUAAGACGAACCGUGCGAACGUUGUUCGGAUUCACUGGGCUUAAAGGGCGCGUAGGCGGGUCCGCCAGUCCGGGGUGAAAGCCCCCGGCUCAACCGGGGAAUGGCCUGGGAUACUGCGGACCUCGAGGGAGGUAGGGGCGAUCGGAACUUCCGGUGGAGCGGUGAAAUGCGUAGAGAUCGGAAGGAACGCCGGUGGCGAAAGCGGAUCGCUGGGCCUCUUCUGACGCUGAGGCGCGAAAGCCAGGGGAGCGAACGGGAUUAGAAACCCGAGUAGUCC